AGAGCGAACGCUGGCGGCAGGCCUAAUACAUGCAAGUCGAACGGAUCCUUCGGGAUUAGUGGCGGACGGGUGAGUAACACGUGGGAACGUGCCCUUUGGUUCGGAACAACUCAGGGAAACUUGAGCUAAUACCGGAUGUGCCCUUCGGGGGAAAGAUUUAUCGCCAUUGGAGCGGCCCGCGUCUGAUUAGCUAGUUGGUGGGGUAAAGGCCUACCAAGGCUACGAUCAGUAGCUGGUCUGAGAGGAUGAUCAGCCACACUGGGACUGAGACACGGCCCAGACUCCUACGGGAGGCAGCAGUAGGGAAUCUUGCGCAAUGGGCGAAAGCCUGACGCAGCCAUGCCGCGUGAAUGAUGAAGGUCUUAGGAUUGUAAAAUUCUUUCAGUGGGGACGAUAAUGACGGUACCCACAGAAGAAGCCCCGGCUAACUUCGCGCCAGCAGCCGC
rnacentral:rRNA from 1 species